AGAACACGGAAACAACUCAUAGAGGUCUAAAACUCGCUAAGCAUCUGAACUGAUCGACUUGAGAACAUCGUUCAAGUACUUAUCUUCUUUGCAUGUUCUCUCUCCGGCUUAUAUAUAUAAAUAUAUAUGUGUAUAACAUAUAUGUACAUGUACGUGCACCACGUUUUUAUAUAGGUUUCAGAUUUGUCGCUAUCUCUCUCUCCUCUUUUUAAGAUUCUUUUUCUAGAUUUGUUCUCUCUCUCUCUCUCUCUUUUUUUUUUUUCCGGUCUCGUCGUUUUCGUUCAUCGGAAUGCCACCGAGUAAUCGAAGAUUAUCACACGUUGCUGCGCUGGAGUUUUAUAAGUUCGAUCAGAUCUGAGAACGGAAGACAGUUUGGUCUUAAUAAAAUCAUGUCUUUCAGGUACUUUCCUUCUUUGCAUGUUCUGUCUACUGUUAACCCACUUUUAAAGUUUUAAUUUUUAACAUUUUUUUUUCUUUUUCAUCGUUUCUACUAGUUAUAGAGAUUCAUUGGUUUAAGCAUUUUCAUGGGAAGAAGAAGAUGAUGGCGAGAGAAGUAGCUUCUGGGUUAUUGAUACUAUUCUCGAUACUGAUCUUUUUUUCUCCGGCGGCGGCUGGAAACGGCGGCGGGUGUAACUGCGAAGACGAAGGAGUAAGCUUCUGGAGCACAGAGAACAUCCUCACAAGUAAUAAUAAUAAUAAAUAAGCCAAUCUGGUUUCAAAUAUUUACUCAUUACUCAUCAGAUUCAUGUAUGCUGAAGGAAACAUUAAAAAGAUCUACGUUUCGUAGGUCCCUCAUAUUAAUCAACUUUUAAGCGUUAUUUUCAUUUCAUUUAUUUUUUGUUUGGGUGCUAUUUGAGUAAUUAUGAUAUUGAUUAGACUAAUUUCAUCGCUAUCCUGCUACUUAUGUCCCAUGGCUUAUGUCAGUCCAAAACGCAGUGAUUAGUGUUAGAUUUUGUGAUCUUUUGUUUAUUAUUAUUACUCUUUACAUAUAAGCAUAUCAAUGGACCAAAAAAUAUUUAAGAAAAAUUUCCUUCGGGUCUUUAUUUAAUUUAAGGGUAUUUCUUUGACUACCACUUACCAAUUUAUUAAAGUAUAUUAGGUUCCUAGAUUCACGUCAUGUGGCUUGUUGGUUUCCAACGCUGUAUUUUACUCAUUUAUAUGAAAUUUUUUAAAAUUAUAUUCUCAUUCUUAGGAUAUACGGGAUUUGAUAAAUUCAAAGUUCCCACUAAAUUUUUUAAUUUACAGCUUAUAAAUUACAUAAAAAAAUAUAUUUAUUUCCCCAAAAUAAAAAUAAAACUGACAAGUGGAGAUAAAUAACAGAAGUUAACAUUUAAUAUAUUAUUUUUGUCUACAAGUGAAUAUUAGUUACAUGUAUACUACAUUAUUGACCCCCAAAAAAGAAAUUAGUAAAAAUAAAAUAAAUAAAUAAACAACUCAGAGAAAAAUACAAAACUGCGUCCAAGUUCGGUUCAUGUAAGAACAAGUGGGACCCAACAGUUUCCCAAAUCUAAAAUAAAAAAUCUCCAAAACCUUCUUCUAAAACCAACGGCUCCAACCUUUACUCACACAUGUAUUAUAAAUUACACUUUCCUUUUUAUUCUCCAAUGGCGGCUUAAGGAAUAAAACUCCGUCACUAAUCUCAGAACCUGAGUGUCUACAAAUCACAGAACACGGAAACAACUUAUAGAGGUCUAAAACUCGCUAAGCAUCUGAGCUGAAGACUUGAGAACAUCUUUCAAGUACUUAUCUUCUUUGCAUGUUCUCUCUCCGGCUUAUAUAUAUAUAUAUAUAUAUAUAUAUAUAUGUGUAUAACAUAUAUGUACAUGUACGUGCACCACGUUUUUAUAUAGGUUUCAGAUUUGUCGCUAUCUCUCUCUCCUCUUUUUAAGAUUCUUUUUCUAGAUUUGUUCUCUCUCUCUCUCUCUCUUUUUUUUUUUNNNN
rnacentral:lncRNA from 1 species